AGUUUGAUCAUGGCUCAGAAUGAACGCUGGCGGCGUGCCUAACACAUGCAAGUCGUGCGAGGAAGCCCCCUUCGGGGGGUGAGUAAAGCGGCGAACGGGUGAGCAACGCGUGGGUAACCUGCCCGGAGGUCUGGGAUAACCCUGCGAAAGCGGGGCUAAUACCGGAUAGUCUGGAUCCCACACAAGUGGGGUCUGGUAAAGGUGGCCUCUGCAUUGCAAGCUACCGCCUCCGGAGGGGCCUGCGUCCCAUUAGCUAGUUGGUGGGGUAAUGGCCUACCAAGGCGACGAUGGGUAGCCGGCCUGAAAGGGUGACCGGCCACACUGGGACUGAAACACGGCCCAGACUCCUACGGGAGGCAGCAGUGAGGAAUCUUGCACAAUGGGCGAAAGCCUGAUGCAGCAACGCCGCGUGGAGGAUGACGCAUUUCGGUGUGUAAACUCCUUUUCUGAAGGAAGAAUUCUGACGGUACUUCAGGGAUAAGCACCGGCUAACUCCGUGCCAGCAGCCGCGGUAAUACGGAGGGUGCAAGCGUUACUCGGAAUCACUGGGCGUAAAGGACGCGUAGGCUGGUUUGCAAGUCAGGGGUGAAAGCCUACGGCUUAACCGUAGAACUGCUCUUGAAACUGCUUACCUAGAGUAUGGGAGAGGUAGAUGGAAUUAGUUGUUGUAGGGGGUAAAAUCCGUAGAGAUCACUAGGAAUACCGAUUGCGAAGGCGAUCUACUGGAACAUUACUGACGCUGAGGCGUGAAAGCGUGGGGAGCAAACAGGAUUAGAUA
rnacentral:rRNA from 1 species